AUUGAACGCUGGCGGCAGGCCUAACACAUGCAAGUCGAACGGUAGCACAGAGAGCUUGCUCUCGGGUGACGAGUGGCGGACGGGUGAGUAAUGUCUGGGAAACUGCCCGAUGGAGGGGGAUAACUACUGGAAACGGUAGCUAAUACCGCAUAACGUCGCAAGACCAAAGUGGGGGACCUUCGGGCCUCACACCAUCGGAUGUGCCCAGAUGGGAUUAGCUAGUAGGUGGGGUAAUGGCUCACCUAGGCGACGAUCCCUAGCUGGUCUGAGAGGAUGACCAGCCACACUGGAACUGAAACACGGUCCAGACUCCUACGGGAGGCAGCAGUGGGGAAUAUUGCACAAUGGGGGCAAGCCUGAUGCAGCCAUGCCGCGUGUAUGAAGAAGGCCUUCGGGUUGUAAAGUACUUUCAGCGGGGAGGAAGGCGGUGAAGUUAAUAACUUCACCGAUUGACGUUACCCGCAGAAGAAGCACCGGCUAACUCCGUGCCAGCCGCCGCGGUAA
rnacentral:rRNA from 1 species